rnacentral:tRNA from 3 species
GCCGGGUUGGUGGAAGGGCAGACACGAUCGCCUCAAAAGCGAUUGCCUGAAAGGGCGUGUGGGUUCGAAUCCCACACUCGGCACCA